rnacentral:tRNA from 1 species
GGAUGGGUGGCCGAGUGGUUUAAGGCACCGGUCUUGAAAACCGGCGGAAUCGCAAGGUUCCCGUGAGUUCGAAUCUCACCCCAUCCGCCA